rnacentral:rRNA from 1 species
GACGAACGCUGGCGGCGUGCUUAACACAUGCAAGUCGAACGGAAAGGUCCUGCUUUUGUGGGGUGCUCGAGUGGCGAACGGGUGAGUAACACGUGAGUAACCUGCCCUUGACUUUGGGAUAACUUCAGGAAACUGGGGCUAAUACCGCAUAGGAGCUCCUGCUGCAUGGUGGGGGUUGGAAAGUUUCGGCGGUUGGGGAUGGACUCGCGGCUGCUCAGCUUGUUGGUGGGGUAGUGGCUUACCAAGGCUUUGACGGGUAGCCGGCCUGAGAGGGUGACCGGCCACAUUGGGACUGAGAUACGGCCCAGAGUGCUACGGGAGGCAGCAGUGGGGAAUAUUGCACAAUGGGCGGAAGCCUGAUGCAGCAACGCCGCGUGCGGGAUGACGGCCUUCGGGUUGUAAACCGCUUUCGCCUGUGACGAAGCGUGAGUGACGGUAAUGGAUAAAGAAGCACCGGCUAACUACGUG